rnacentral:rRNA from 1 species
UGAGGAAUAUUGGACAAUGGAGGAAACUCUGAUCCAGCCAUGCCGCGUGAGUGACGAAGGCCUUCGGGUUGUAAAACUCUUUAAGUGGGGAAGAUAAUGACGGUACCCACAGAAUAAGCACCGGCUAACUUCGUGCCAGCAGCCGCGGUAAUACGAAGGGUGCUAGCGUUACUCGGAAUCACUGGGCGUAAAGCGUGCGUAGGCGGAAAUAUAAGUCAGAGGUGAAAUCCCGGAGCUUAACUUCGGAAUUGCCUUUGAAACUGUAUUUCUUGAGUAUGGUAGAGGAUGGUGGAAUUCCUAGUGUAGAGGUGAAAUUCGUAGAUAUUAGGAGGAACACCGGUGGCGAAGGCGGCCAUCUGGGCCAUAACUGACGCUGAGGCACGAAAGCGUGGGUAGCAAA